rfam:Folsomia candida strain VT population Fcan01_Sc002, whole genome shotgun sequence.
GUUGUUAAAUGAUGAGUGCAUAGUUCAUCGGAUUCUGAUGAUGAAUAAUUCAAAUGUCUUCGCCCCUAUCUGAUUAUUUUU